rnacentral:rRNA from 1 species
CACGGCGCAGGGGGGUAACACGUGGGCAAUCUGCCCUCCGAUGGGGAAUAACGCGCGAAAGCGGGGCUAAUUCCGCAUAACAUUCCUUGGACUCACGUUCGAGGAUUCAAAGCAGCAAUGCGUCGGAGGAGGAGCCCGCGCCCGAUUAGCUAGUUGGUGAGGUAACGGCUCACCAAGGCAAUGAUCGGUAGCUGGUCUGAGAGGAUGGCCAGCCACACUGGAACUGAGACACGGUCCAGACUCCUACGGGAGGCAGCAGUGGGGAAUCUUGCACAAUGGGCGAAAGCCUGAUGCAGCGACGCCGCGUGGGGGAUGAAGCUUUUCGGAGUGUAAACCCCUUUCGCCUGGGACGAAUGCCCGCAAGGGAGUGACGGUACCAGGAUAAGAAGCCCCGGCUAACUACGUGCCAGCAGCCGCGGUAAGACGUAGGGGGCCAGCGUUGUUCGGAAUUACUGGGUGUAAAGGGUUCGUAGGCGGUGCGGCAAGUUGGGAGUGAAAUCUCUGGGCUCAACCCAGAGGCUGCUUCCAA